rnacentral:tRNA from 1 species
GGAAGAUACAUCAAUGGUGAUAACUAGAUUUGAAACCUAGGAAGGCUUUACGGUCUACAGAGUUCGAUUCUCUGGUCUUCCUCCA